AUGUUGCAGAGCAACACAACAACCCACCGUGAUACCUGCGCCUACGACAUCUCGGCACAGGAAUCGCCGGCGACCAUUGCAUCGCAGCUCUCAGAGCCGCCGGCAACUGUUGCAACACAGCACCGGGAGCCACCGGAGGGCUGCUCCAUGGCAACACGGAGCGCGACGUCUCCGGCGAAGCUUCAUUGCAUCUCCGGCGAAAGCUUCAUUGCAGCUCCGGUGAAGCUUCAUUGCAGCCCCGACAGAGUCCGUUCCGCCCCCAUCGCUGCUCCAACGACCGGGCGGAACUCCAAUGCAGCCCCGAGUGGCGCUUCAUGGCAACACCGAGCGCGACGUCUCCGGCGAAGCUUCAUUGCAGCUCCGGCGAAAGCUUCAUUGCAGCUCUGGUGA
rnacentral:rRNA from 1 species